CCUACGGGAGGCAGCAGUGGGGAAUAUUGCACAAUGGGGGAAACCCUGAUGCAGCGACGCCGCGUGAGUGAAGAAGUAUUUCGGUAUGUAAAGCUCUAUCAGCAGGGAAGAAAAUGACGGUACCUGACUAAGAAGCCCCGGCUAACUACGUGCCAGCAGCCGCGGUAAUACGUAGGGGGCAAGCGUUAUCCGGAUUUACUGGGUGUAAAGGGAGCGUAGACGGCAGCACAAGUCUGGAGUGAAAUGCCGGGGCUUAACCCCGGAACUGCUUUGGAAACUGUGCAGCUAGAGUGCAGGAGAGGUAAGUGGAAUUCCUAGUGUAGCGGUGAAAUGCGUAGAGAUUAGGAGGAACACCAGCGGCGAAGGCGGCUUACUGGACUGUAACUGACGUUGAGGCUCGAAAGCGUGGGGAGCAAACAGGAUUAGAUACCCUAGUAGUC
rnacentral:rRNA from 1 species